AUCUUUGCGCUUGGGGCAAUGACGCAGCUAGUGAGGUACUAACCGAGGCUCGUCAAUUGCUGAUUGAAAACUAUUUCCAUAUCCCGUCCUUGGCCUUGGUUCUGCCUUGUGCCAUCGAGAAUUUCUGGAAGGGCUCCCUCUAAUCCAGGGUAAAGCC
rnacentral:snRNA from 1 species